GCGGCUCGUGUUGAACAACACAAUGAAAUUGCCGCUCUUUGCUUUGAGCCUUUUGCUGCUCUUUGCAGUCGGCACCAGCGAUAUUUUCAGUGGUCGCCCCCCAAUCGUUCUUCAGUUAAGGGUGGCCGAUCCUGGUCUGGCUGCUUGUCCCGAUCUGGCUGCUCAGCCUGGUCUGAUUGAUCCUAAUGGCGGCAGAAUCAUUCGGCACUUCCGCAUUCGUAAUUGAGACUAUCGCAGAGCAGUCAUACUCCAGUGUGCCAAAGCGGCAGGGGCGCAUCAGGUCCAAAUGCUGUCGAGAUUUCUCGAGCAUUCCUUAAUUUUAGUUGGCUUGCAAAGCAUUAAAAAUCAAUUAAAAAAUGUAAAUAUUUGGA